AUUGAACGCUGGCGGCAGGCCUAACACAUGCAAGUCGAGCGGAUGAAGGGAGCUUUCUCCUGGAUUCAGCUGCGGACGGGUGAGUAAUGCCUAGGAAUCUGCCUGGUAUUGGGGGAUAACGUCCGUAAACGGGCGCUAAUACCGCAUACGUCCUGAUGGAGAAAGUGGUGGAUCUUCGGACCUCACGCUAUCAGAUGAGCCUAGGUCGGAUUAGCUAGUUGGUGGGGUAAAGGCCUACCAAGGCGACGAUCCGUAACUGGUCUGAGAGGAUGAUCAGUCACACUGGAACUGAGACACGGUCCAGACUCCUACGGGAGGCAGCAGUGGGGAAUAUUGGACAAUGGGCGAAAGCCUGAUCCAGCAAUGCCGCGUGUGUGAAGAAGGUCUUCGGAUUGUAAAGCACUUUAAGUUGGGAGGAAGGGAAGUAAGUUAAUACAUUGCUGUUUUGACGUUACCAACAGAAUAAGCACCGGCUAACUUCGUG
rnacentral:rRNA from 1 species